UACGUAGGGGGCAAGCGUUAUCCGGAUUUACUGGGUGUAGAGGGAGCGUAGACGGCGAUGCAAGCCAGACGUGAAAGCCCGGGGCUCAACCCCGGGACUGCAUUUGGAACUGUGUGGCUGGAGUGUCGGAGAGGCAAGUGGAAUUCCUAGUGUAGCGGUGAAAUGCGUAGAUAUUAGGAGGAACACCAGUGGCGAAGGCGGCUUGCUGGACGAUGACUGACGCUGAGGCUCGAAAGCGUGGGGAGCAAACAGG
rnacentral:rRNA from 1 species